rnacentral:sRNA from 1 species
AGGUAGAAGUGGUUUGCCAUCUGGCCGGGUGCGCGCUCAGGUCUGGCUCCCCUUUCGAGAGGUGAAUUUACAACCCAAGAAGCAUUACUCAGCAGGGAGAGUCCCGUAUUCUCAGAGUAAAAGUUGUUUCUGGAAUUGAUCUCGCCAAAAAGGACAUCUUUGGAGCCAGUGAUCCGUACGUGAAACUUUCAUUGUACGUAGCGGAUGAGAAUAGAGAACUUGCUUUGGUCCA